UACGUAGGGUGCAAGCGUUGUCCGGAAUUAUUGGGCGUAAAGAGCUUGUAGGCGGUUUGUCGCGUCUGCUGUGAAAACUCGGGGCUUAACUCCGGGCCUGCAGUGGGUACGGGCAGACUAGAGUGUGGUAGGGGAGACUGGAAUUCCUGGUGUAGCGGUGAAAUGCGCAGAUAUCAGGAGGAACACCAGUGGCGAAGGCGGCACUCUGGGCCGGUACUGACGCUGAGGAGCGAAAGCGUGGGGAGCGAACAGG
rnacentral:rRNA from 1 species